rnacentral:rRNA from 1 species
GCGGACGUCGCAACCCGUUCGAUGUCGACCGAGGAGCUGUGUAAACGUUCGUUGCUCGCAGAAAGGUUAACGCUGGACUGUGUGCGAUGAGUUACGUAGUCUUCAUUCUGGUUGACACCGUCGGACGGUAGUCRUAUGUGGUAAUUGGCGUCGCUUCGCGCGGCGUCAACGCCCGUUAGCGACGAAUCUUCGGGCCUCUUUUCGACCCGUCUUGAAACACGGACCAAGGAGUCUAACGUGCGCGCGAGUCGCGGGGUAUCGAGUSGUGUGAAUUUAAAUCGACGACUCGUUACAAUACGAAACCCGUGUGUAUGUAAAUGCAAGGCGUAAUGAAAGUGAAACUUGGGAAGAUGGUGUUCGAGUUCACGAUUCUCGAUCGUAUGGUGUCGAGGCCGAACAUCCGCACUCCCAGGGCGUCCUAAUGGCACUUCAAGUAUGCGGACGGUCGUUUCGCGAUGGCCGUCGGUAUUUGAUGAGCUGGGGCGCACCUAUAGCGUGCACGUUGGUACCCGAAAGAUGGUGAACUAUGCCUGGCCAGGAUGAAGUCAGGGGAAACCCUGAUGGAGGUCCGCAGCGAUUCUGACGUGCAA